CUGUUUCCUUUAGGAUGACUUCUUGCCCAGGACAGCUACACCUCUAGAAGACAUAUUCAAGUCUCUUUUCUGUUUGCCAUGUUUGCUAUGCAUAAGGUGCAUGAAGGAUACAUGUGUUCCAGAG